rnacentral:rRNA from 1 species
AUACGUAGGGGGCGAGCGUUGUCCGGAAUUACUGGGCGUAAAGGGUGCGUAGGCGGCGAUGCAAGUCCAUUGUGAAAAGCCCGGGCUUAACCUGGGAGGUGCAGUGGAAACUGUAUGGCUUGAGUGCAGGAGAGGAAAGUGGAAUUCCUAGUGUAGCGGUGAAAUGCGUAGAUAUUAGGAGGAACACCAGUGGCGAAGGCGACUUUCUGGACUGUAACUGACGCUGAGGCACGAAAGCGUGGGGAGCAAACAGGAUUAGAUACCCUGGUAGUCCACGCCGUAAACGAUGGAUACUAGGUGUAGGGGGUAUCGACCCCCCCUGUGCCGGAGUUAACACAAUAAGUAUCCCGCCUGGGGAGUACGGCCGCAAGGUUGAA